CAGUAGACCAACUCGGCGUGUUAGCCCGG
rnacentral:sRNA from 1 species